GACGAACGCUGGCGGCGUGCUUAACAUAUGCAAGUCGAACGGAAAGGCCCUGCUUUUGUGGGGUGCUCGAGUGGCGAAAGGGUGAGUAACACGUGAGUAACCUGCCCUUGACUUUGGGAUAACGUCAGGAAACUGGGGCUAAUACAGGAUAGGAGCUCCUGCUGCAUGGUGGGGGUUGGAAAGUUUCGGCGGUUGGGGAUGGACUCGCGGCUUAUCAGCUUGUUGGUGGGGUAGUGGCUUACCAAGGCGUUGACGGGUAGCCGGCCUGAGAGGGUGACCGGCCACAUUGGGACUGAGAUACGGCCCAGACUCCUACGGGAGGCAGCAGUGGGGAAUAUUGCACAAUGGGCGGAAGCCUGAUGCAGCAACGCCGCGUGCGGGAUGACGGCCUUCGGGUUGUAAACCGCUUUCGCCUGUGACGAAGCGUGAGUGACGGUAAUGGGUAAAGAAGCACCGGCUAACUACGUG
rnacentral:rRNA from 1 species